rnacentral:rRNA from 1 species
GAUGAACGCUGGCGGCGUGCCUAAUACAUGCAAGUCGAGCGAACGGACGAGAAGCUUGCUUUUCUGAGGUUAGCGGCGGACGGGUGAGUAACACAUGGAUAACCUACCUAUAAGACUGGGAUAACUUCGGGAAACCGGAGCUAAUACCGGAUAAUAUUUUGAACCGCAUGGUUCAAGAGUGAAAGACGGUCUUGCUGUCACUUAUAGCUGGAUCCGCGUUGCAUUAGCUAGUUGGUAAGGUAACGGCUUACCAAGGCAACGAUGCAUAGCCGACCUGAGAGGGUGAUCGGACACACUGGAAGUGAGACACGGCCCAGACUCCUACGGGAGGAAGCAGUAGGGAAUCUUACGCAAUGGGCGAAAGCCUGACGGAGCAACGCCGCGGGAGUGAUGAAGGUCUUCGGAUCGGAAAACUCUGUUAUUAGGGAAGAACAAAUGUGUAAGUAACUGUGCACAUCUUGACGGUACCGAAUCAGAAAGCCACGGCUAACUACGUG